GACGAACGCUGGCGGCGUGCUUAACACAUGCAAGUCGAACGUAAAGGCCCUGCUUUUGUGGGGUGCUCGAGUGCCGAACGGGUGAGUAACACGUUAGUAACCUUCCCUUGACUUUGGGAUAACUUCGGGAAACUGGGGCUAAUACCGGAUAGGAGCUCCUGCUGCAUUGUGGGGGUUGGAAAGUUUCGGCGGUUGGGGAUGGACGCGCGGCUUAUCAGCUUGUUGGUGGGGUAGUGGCUUACCAAGGCUUUGACGGGUAGCCGGCCUGAGAGGGUGACCGGGCACAUUGGGACUGAGAUACGGACCAGACUCCUACGGGGGGCAGCAGUGGGGAAUAUUGCACAAUGGGCGGAAGCCGGAGGCAGCAACGCCGCGUGCGGGAUGACGGCCUUCGGGUUGUAAACCGCUUUGGCCUGUGACGAAGCGUGAGUGACGGUAAUGGGUAAAGAAGCCCCGGCUAACUACGUG
rnacentral:rRNA from 1 species